CAGAGAAUGUUAAUGACACAUUACUUAAAAAGGAUCAUAAUUAAUUUCUGGGUAAGGAAGUAAUUCAUGCCCUGGUAGUGGUGGUGGUGGGGGGGAAUGUUGAGCCCACACAAAUUUAAAAAGAAGGGAAAAAAUUCUACCCUGCAGAGAUAACCAUUAUGAUAAAUGUUGAGUGUCUGUUUUUCUUCCAUAUAGGAUAUCCUAUUAAUAUUGACCUUUGCUGAAUGCGGCUUUUCUUUGCCUCCCUGUCUUUACACCAUCUCUGCCAUGCACUGAGAACAAGCCGGUCACCAGCCAAGAGACAUAAAAGGGUGCUCUGGCUGGCUCCCUCUGAAAGAUGGCUCCCAGCAGGUGAGGGAGCGGGAAAGGAGGGGCGCCUAUUGAAGUCAGGAUGUAGUCAUUAUGCAUUCAGAUGAUUUCUUUCCUUGCCUGUUCCCCAGAAGAAGCAGAAGCCUUGAGCAUUGUGUGUAGAGUUAUGCUCCUGGCGUGGGGGCGGCGGGCAGCAGAACUGCUAAAGAAGAAAAAGUAUUUUAACAAGACACCGAGCUCUGAGGCUGGCAGGGGCUGGAGAAGGAGGACCCCCUGUGCCGUCUUACGGGGUUGGCUUUGGUGAUGUGGGUGACAUCAGGCUUUCCCCUGGGCCACUGUCAGGUGUCUGGACCCAUGGUCAUCCAAACCCUAUCGCUGUCUUAGUUUCCAAGGGCUGUUCUGUGACAGUGGAGCGAGAUGGGCAGCGGCUUCGGGAUACUCCUGCAGCACCCCAGGGUGUGUGUGUAUCAGUGUGUUUUGAGUGGGUUGAUUUCCAGGGAAAUGUUGUGUUCUAUGAGGUUGGAAUUAUAAACGCAUACACAAAGUGUUCUAUAAUUAGAAGGUAUCUUUGCCUUCCCUCUUGCCAGGGCCACUCUGUCAGAGCUCCCUGAUUUACAGCUUGCCGGGACCCUUCCUUUGUGCCCCCACCCCCUACUUUUUUCUAAAAAAGAAUAGCAUCAUUGAUAUUAUUCGACUACCUAGCUUUUUUAAAAAAUAUACUGCUCUUAAUAUUCAGUCAUUUCUUUGCAGAAAGACUUCUCCAAAAACAUUGGCCUAGUCAGGUUUCUGGUUUCUGUGCUGUUACCAAACAGGGGCUUUGUGGCUUUGGAGAAUUAACUUUCAAUGGCCUCCUUUAAUGCAUCCUAAAUGACAGGGCACUGGCCUAGCUGACACCCCCACCCCCACCCCACCCCCGUGUCUCCAACAUGAAAUCGUGGUUCUGUACGGGAUCUAGAGCAAUGAUCCUCAACUUGGGGCCACUCUGCCACCAGGUUACUCUGGUCUGGGGACUGUUGGUUGUCUUCUAACGGCAUCUGAUUGGUAGAGGCCAGGGAUGCUGAUGUCACCCUGCAAUGCAUGGGACAGCCCCACCACCAGGCGUCGCAUUCAAUGUCUGUUUACCACCGAAAGCUCCCUGGGUGGGAGAUGGGUGGUCAGAUGGCCUUCGUUAGGGACACAGCUCUCCCCUGUGGGGUUAUUGCCCCUGGAAGAAGCCGGAGUCCACUUGGAUGCUGGGGCCAUUAGAGAUGUGUGGCUCGUUUUCUUCUCUCCUGAAAGUUUUCCUGGCAGUGCCUUAGAAGCCUGGCCUCUGUUUACUUUCCAUAGUUUACCUGUAUCUUUCUACAUUCCUGGGCCUGGAUGAUUAAAAGCUUCGCGUUUUCUAGAUGA